rnacentral:rRNA from 1 species
UACGUAGGGUCCGAGCGUUGUCCGGAAUUAUUGGGCGUAAAGAGCUCGUAGGCGGUGUGUCGCGUCGGCCGUGAAAACCUGCAGCUUAACUGUGGGCUUGCGGUCGAUACGGGCAUCACUGGAGUUCGGCAGGGGAGACUGGAAUCCCUGGUGUAGCGGUGAAAUGCGCAGAUAUCAGGAGGAACACCGGUGGCGAAGGCGGGUCUCUGGGCCGAUACUGACGCUGAGGCGCGAAAGCGUGGGGAGCAAACAGG